rnacentral:rRNA from 1 species
CAGGGAAUCUUGCACAAUGGGCGAAAGCCUGAUGCAGCGACGCCGCGUGAGGGAUGAAGGCUUUAGGGUCGUAAACCUCUUUUCUCAGGGACGAGCAAGGACGGUACCUGAGGAAUAAGCCACGGCUAACUACGUGCCAGCAGCCGCGGUAAUACGUAGGUGGCAAACGUUGUCCGGAAUUACUGGGCGUAAAGGGUCCGUAGGCGGUUUGGAAAGUCUUCUGUGAAAUCUCCAGGCUCAACUUGGAGAGGUCGGGAGAAACUUCCAGACUCGAGACUGUCAGAGGCAAGUGGAAUUCCCGGUGUAGUGGUGAAAUACGUAGAUAUCGGGAGGAACGCCAGUGGCGAAAGCGGCUUGCUGGGGCAGUUCUGACGCUGAGGGACGAAAGCGUGGGGAGCAAACCGGAUUAGAUACCCCCGUAGUCC